UCGAACGAGUUCUCGUUGAUGAUCGGUGCUUGCACCGAGAUUCAACAUGGAACGAGUGGCGGACGGGUGAGUAACACGUGGGUAACCUGCCCUUAAGUGGGGGAUAACAUUUGGAAACAGAUGCUAAUACCGCAUAGAUCCAAGAACCGCAUGGUUCUUGGCUGAAAGAUGGCGUAAGCUAUCGCUUUUGGAUGGACCCGCGGCGUAUUAGCUAGUUGGUGAGGUAAUGGCUCACCAAGGCGAUGAUACGUAGCCGAACUGAGAGGUUGAUCGGCCACAUUGGGACUGAGACACGGCCCAAACUCCUACGGGAGGCAGCAGUAGGGAAUCUUCCACAAUGGACGCAAGUCUGAUGGAGCAACGCCGCGUGAGUGAAGAAGGCUUUCGGGUCGUAAAACUCUGUUGUUGGAGAAGAAUGGUCGGCAGAGUAACUGUUGCCGGCGUGACGGUAUCCAACCAGAAAGCCACGGCUAACUACGUGCCAGCAGCCGCGGUAAUACGUAGGUGGCAAGCGUUAUCCGGAUUUAUUGGGCGUAAAGCGAGCGCAGGCGGAAAAAUAAGUCUAAUGUGAAAGCCCUCGGCUUAACCGAGGAACUGCAUCGGAAACUGUUUUUCUUGAGUGCAGAAGAGGAGAGUGGAACUCCAUGUGUAGCGGUGGAAUGCGUAGAUAUAUGGAAGAACACCAGUGGCGAAGGCGGCUCUCUGGUCUGCAAUUGACGCUGAGGCUCGAAAGCAUGGGUAGCGAACAGGAUUAGAUACCCUGGUAGUCCAUGCCGUAAACGAUGAGUGCUAAGUGUUGGGAGGUUUCCGCCUCUCAG
rnacentral:rRNA from 1 species